rnacentral:rRNA from 1 species
UAGAGUUUGAUCCUGGCUCAGGAUGAACGCUAGCUACAGGCUUAACACAUGCAAGUCGAGGGGCAGCGGGAUUGAAGCUUGCUUCAAUUGCCGGCGACCGGCGCACGGGUGAGUAACGCGUAUCCAACCUUCCGUACACUCAGGGAUAGCCUUUCGAAAGAAAGAUUAAUACCUGAUGGUAUGAUGAGAUUGCAUGAUAGCAUCAUUAAAGAUUUAUCGGCGUACGAUGGGGAUGCGUUCCAUUAGGUAGUAGGCGGGGUAGCGGCCCACCUAGCCAACGAUGGAUAGGGGUUCUGAGAGGAAGGUCCCCCACAUUGGAACUGAGACACGGUCCAAACUCCUACGGGAGGCAGCAGUGAGGAAUAUUGGUCAAUGGACGAGAGUCUGAACCAGCCAAGUAGCGUGAAGGAUGAAGGUCCUACGGAUUGUAAACUUCUUUUAUAAGGGAAUAAACCCUCCCACGUGUGGGAGCUUGUAUGUACCUUAUGAAUAAGCAUCGGCUAACUCCGUGCCAGCAGCCGCGGUAAUACGGAGGAUGCGAGCGUUAUCCGGAUUUAUUGGGUUUAAAGGGAGCGCAGACGGGUCGUUAAGUCAGCUGUGAAAGUUUGGGGCUCAACCUUAAAAUUGCAGUUGAUACUGGCGUCCUUGAGUGCGGUUGAGGUGUGCGGAAUUCGUGGUGUAGCGGUGAAAUGCUUAGAUAUCACGAAGAACUCCGAUUGCGAAGGCAGCACACUAAUCCGUAACUGACGUUCAUGCUCGAAAGUGUGGGUAUCAAACAGGAUUAGAUACCCUGGUAGUCCACACGGUAAACGAUGGAUACUCGCUGUUGGCGAUAUACUGUCAGCGGCUUAGCGAAAGCGUUAAGUAUCCCACCUGGGGAGUACGCCGGCAACGGUGAAACUCAAAUGAAUUGACGGAAGGGCGAAU